rnacentral:rRNA from 1 species
CAUGGCUCAGAACGAACGCUGGCGGCAGGCUUAACACAUGCAAGUCGAACGCCCCGCAAGGGGAGUGGCAGACGGGUGAGUAACGCGUGGGAAUCUACCUAGUUCUACGGAACAACAGUUGGAAACGACUGCUAAUACCGUAUACGCCCUACGGGGGAAAGAUUUAUCGGAAUUAGAUGAGCCCGCGUAAGAUUAGCUAGUUGGUGGGGUAAUGGCCUACCAAGGCGACGAUCUUUAGCUGGUCUGAGAGGAUGAUCAGCCACACUGGGACUGAGACACGGCCCAGACUCCUACGG